rnacentral:rRNA from 1 species
GAUGAACGCUGGCGGCGUGCCUAAUACAUGCAAGUCGAGCGAACAGAUGAGGAGCUUGCUCCUCUGACGUUAGCGGCGGGCGGGUGAGUAACGCGCGGAUAACCUACCUAUAAGACUGGGAUAACUACGGGAAACCGGAGCUAACACCGUAUAAUAUAUUGAACCGCAUGGUUCAAUAGUGAAAGACGGUUUUGCUGUCACUUAUAGAUGGAUCCGCGCCGCAUUAGCUAGUUGGUAAGGUAACGGCUUGCCACGGCAACGAUGCGUAGCCGACCGGCGAGGGGGGUCGGCCACCCUAGAACGGGACCACGGUCCAGGCUCCUACGGGAGGCAGCAGUAGGGUAUCGUCCGCAAGGGGCGAAAGCAUGGCGGAACAACGCCAAGUGAGUGAUGAAGGUCUUCGGAUCGUAAUACUCUGUUAUUAGGGAAGAACAAAUGUGUAAGUAACUGUGCCCGUCUUGACGGUACCUAAUCAGAAAGCCCCGGCUAACUACGUG